UGGAUGGACACGUUGUGUUCUUGGUCUUUCUGGUGGGUUCUUUUUUCAUCUCCUUUUGCUUGCCUAUAAGUAGCUCCUUGCUAUGUUGGUCCUUCAUUCAGUUUCCACGUCCUUCCCUAGAUUGGUCUUCUCAAUUCAGUUUUUGCCUCACUGCCGCAUCCAUUCUCUCUAGGCUCUAGCACCGUCUUGCCUCCGGCAAUUGGAGACGAAGCAUCUGGUCAUGGAAAGCCGCAUCAGGACGUUCGGUCCGGUGGUCAUGGCGCACCAUGAUGGUCCGCCGCCUACAGCCGACGCACCGGAGUGCACAGUAGCAAGCACCAGUUUGAGGUGAGGAUAUCGCAUUGGUCUCCUGUUGCUCACAUGCGAGGCCUCGGACGAGCGGCCAAAUCCACGUGAGGUGGAUGUUGCAGGCACGGCCAUCUCCCCUUCCUUCCUUCCUUCUUUUUCCCUCCAACUACCAUGUUAUCUUUACCAUGUCUUCUUUCCUUGUUGUAUUGUUUUUUCACCCAUGGGGAUAGAGAUGUUACCUCAGUCGGCAAUGAAGCCAGUGAUUUGUAUCCAAUAAUUUUCGUUAAUACGGUAACAACUUAUUUCAGUCCACCUGACGGAACGAGUCUCUAUCUGAUGAUGUCAGAACUUACAGAAAGUUUCUAAAAUAAAUUAGGACAUGGUAUUUUUCUUCACUCUUGAUUUGUUCCAUUUGUAUUAUCCGCUCCGCCCUAGGUUCGUCCCCAAAAUUAUAAAAUUUGGAGCCUCCCGUUGAAGGUCCAAGGAGGUGGAAGCAUGAACAAUGCCCUCAUCAAAUCAACUUAAUUGGAUUCGAAUUGAAGGAUGACUUUUGAGAAAAGGUAGUACGUAACUUCAUUUAUAUUAUGCACUUGGUAGGGAUAUUCUCAAGGAAUUGCAAGAUGAUGGGCUAUACACUUCACAUAGCCUGAGACCAUGACUCUUCACUGGAAUAAAAACAGAUGCGUGAGAUGAUAGAUCGGGACAGACAUGCAUGCUCCAAGUUGUGAGCAGUUUUGUUUUUCAGAGAGAUGUUUAUCCUGGAAUGGAAAAUUUUCUUUUGAAUA